rnacentral:antisense_RNA from 1 species
CUUGACGGAGCCGAGCCACAGCGGCCGGUCCGCGGGGCGUUCCCGGCCGUACGUCGCCAGCAGUGCCCGGGCCUC